UACGGAGGGGGCUAGCGUUGUUCGGAAUUACUGGGCGUAAAGCGCGCGUAGGCGGCUUUGUAAGUUAGAGGUGAAAGCCUGGAGCUCAACUCCAGAACUGCCUUUAAGACUGCAUCGCUGGAAUCGUGGAGAGGUGAGUGGAAUUCCGAGUGUAGAGGUGAAAUUCGUAGAUAUUCGGAAGAACACCAGUGGCGAAGGCGACUCACUGGACACGUAUUGACGCUGAGGUGCGAAAGCGUGGGGAGCAAACAGG
rnacentral:rRNA from 1 species